CUCAGGAAAGUGUUGAAGGAUCCACCAUAUUUCUUCAUAGCUUGUUCCAGUGAUUAAGCAGCUGUGCUUUUACAAGUGUCAUCUUGUUUUAAAUUUGAAUUUGUCUGACUUCUAUUUUUGUCUGCUCUUUAUGUCCCUUUUCCUCUUGAAGCUUUUUUUUCAGUGCCAGGUUGGAUGGAGCUUUGAGCAACCUGGUCUUGAGGAAGAUGUCCCUGCACAUGGCAGGGGGUUGGAACUGGAUGAGCUUUAAGGUGCUUUCCAACCCCAAUCAUUCUAUGAUUCUGCGCCUUUCUCUGUUAAAGUGCCCUAUGUUUCCUGUUUUCUCCCUGAGGAGGUUCUGACGCAUCACAACCCAUAUCUUCUAUCAACUUUCCUUUUAGCUUGUUUACAAAAAGAAAAAGCUGAAUCAGCUGCUAGAGUGUGUAUGUAGGGCUACCAUCUAAAAGAAGUAGUUGCCCACAGCUGAGAUGGAAUCUCAAAUGUUUACUAAUCAGGCAACAAGCCUUCCGCAUUUCUGUGUCUGAAUACCUCAAGUCUGGCCCUCUCCCACCACAAUGAAAGAA